rnacentral:rRNA from 1 species
UACGGGGGGGGCAAGCGUUGUUCGGAAUUACUGGCGUAAAGGGCUCGUAGGCGGCCAACUAAGUCAGACGUGAAAUCCCUCGGCUUAACCGGGGAACUGCGUCUGAUACUGGAUGGCUUGAGUUUGGGAGAGGGAUGCGGAAUUCCAGGUGUAGCGGUGAAAUGCGUAGAUAUCUGGAGGAACACCGGUGGCGAAGGCGGCAUCCUGGACCAACACUGACGCUGAGUGAGCGAAAGCCAGGGGAGCAAACGGG